UGGUCUCCUUUUCUAAUGAUCCGGAUCCGUUUCUUCUUCCUUCAACUCUCACCUAUCUUUCCAUUGAAAGAUUCAAGAAUCUUGAAUCCCUUACCUCCCUGGCUCUCCACACACUCACCUCCCUUCAGCAUCUAUGGAUUUCAGGGUGUCCUAAGCUGCAGUCAUUUUUGCCAAGAGAAGGACUUUCUGACACAGUUUCACAGCUAUAUAUCAGAGAUUGUCCACUCCUAAGUCAAAGGUGCAUAAAGGAGAAAGGAGAAGAUUGGCCCAUGAUUUCCCACAUCCCAUAUGUUGAAAUAAACCGCAAGGGUUUUUGCAGAACUUAGAAGGAGACACCAUUCAAUACUGACCAUCUUUGCAUUUAAUAAAGCAAUGGGUGGCAAGUGACAAGUCUGUCAAGUUAUGAAAUGCCAUGAUGGGAAAAUUUUUCAAAAGCUGUGUUAGGCCUGUUUAUCAGAUAAGGGAAUACGAUAGCUGCUCUUUUGGCAAGGUGCUAUGAUAUAAGCACAGCUUUAAGGAUGAGUGGGGAUGAUGCUACCAGGGAUUAAUUGAGGCUAAUUCUAAUUCAUCAUCUCCUCUGUUAGUUCUUGUUCACAUCUACUUCUCCAGUGGAGCUAAACAUCCAGACAUUCAUUCUCCUGCAAAGGAUGAAUCCUCAGAUGGGUGGUUUAAA